rnacentral:lncRNA from 1 species
GAUGCUGUCUCCAAAGCUGUGUCUUGUCCAUUUGUGCAGCAGGAGGAGGCUGAUUUGGGCAGAAGUCAGUGGAUCUAAUUUGAUGUUGAUCCUCUUCCAUAUCACACUGUGAAAAGGAGGAAUCUUUGGACCAAUUUACUGGACACACUUUCCUGGAGAAUUCCUGGGACAGCUCUUCUCCCUGAGCAGAAGCAAUCACUGCAUUGUGGAGAUUCUCCAGGCUUCUCUUUGACCUCCCUUGCACAGAGUUUCAUCACCCCAGCCUGGAGUGGGUGAUGAAGCAGCAUGAGGAACCCUGUAUGUGUCUCCUCUGCUUGCCAGCAUUAGCAUUAGUUUUUGCACUUGCCAGUGUCAUUCAGUGUGUGCACCUGUGCAAAUUCUCCUUAGCCAUGAGAGGAUGCUUGAACUUUGGAUGAUUCAGAGUCCCUGCCAC